GGUCACACCUUCAACUUCAAAACAGGGUAACUGCAAAUUUAAAAUACUCAAGACAUGUUUUAUUCAGUAUAUACAUAAAUAAUUAAAUUGG